rnacentral:rRNA from 1 species
AUUGAAUGCUGGCGGCAGGCCUAACACAUUCAAGUCGAGCGAGCGGCGGACGGGUGAGUAAUGUCUGGGAAACUGCCUGAUGGAGGGGGAUAACUACUGGAAACGGUAGCUAAUACCGCAUACCAUCAGAUGUGCCCAGGUGGGAUUAGCUAGUAGGUGGGGUAACGGCUCACCUAGUCGACGAUCCCUAGCUGGUCUGAGAGGAUGACCAGCCACACUGGAACUGAUACACGGUCCAGACUCCUACGGGCGGCCGCAGUGGGGAAUAUUGCACAAUGGGCACAAGCCUGAUGCAGCCAUGCCGCGUGUGUGACGAAGGCCUUCGGGUUGUAAAGCACUUUCGGCGGGGAGGCGUUACCCGCAGAAGAAGCACCGGCUAACUCCGUGACAGCAGCCGCGGUAAUAC